UGGUGUUUUAAUUAAUAAACGCCACCAUAUUGGAUCCCAAAAUGAAAAAAGCGCAUCCAGGAAAGAUUUAGUGGCAAUUGAACGAAUAAAUGCUGGUAGAAAUUAGUGGCGUUUUAAAAUAAACGCCACUAAUUUUUCCCUAAAAUGAAACCCAGGUUUCCUUUUGUUCUUUGCUCUUGAUUUCCUUUCCUUUCCCAAGCUUCUUUCUUCUCUGCAAACCUAGGUCAUUUGUUUCAUUUUUACUUUCGAUUCCUUUCCUUUUCGUGCCGUUUCCAAUGGGUUGUCUUUGUUUUCGAUCUGAUUCCUUUUCCUUUUCCAAUUUGUUUCGAAUCCCACCCUAAACUAAACCUUCGAGAGCCUUGCCGUUCAUUUGUCGCUACCGUUCCCAUUGCUAGCGUUCAUCUCCCUUUUCCUUCCAUCUACAACAUUGGUUUAAGGUCCAGGAUUUGAAGGGCAGUGCUAUGGAGUUGAAGUCGAUAUUGGAGAUGUAUAGACAUGAAUUUAUUGAUUCAAGAGAUUACUUCUAAGAUGCGAUAGUAAUCGGGCAUUUCAUGCCAUGAAGAAAGGCAUCUUGACAAGCAGUUCCGUGGGAAAUUCUGGGCUGAAAUUCUAUUCCAUUCAUAAUGGGGCUCCUUGGAUUUUGACUGUUGGUGCUAGUGCUACGGGCAAAAAGUUUCAGACUGCAGUUACAAUUGGUUGCUACAAUUUAAUCAAUGCUUGCAGUAGUGUACAUGAGAAUAUUCCUUGAGGAAAGUAUACAAAAUCAAGUUGAUUGUAUAACACAACCAAUCUUGAAAGAAAGGGAAUAUGUGAUUCAAAAGGAUGGUAAUACACCUAGAAAGAUGUUAGUAUCCAAGAAAAUUCCAUCCGUGGGAGAUAUUAUUUGCUUGCUGAAGAGCAGUAUAUCAUUUUCCCAAGCACAGUUGUUGCUUUCUUCAAUAGUAUUGCAGAGGGUGGGAUGAUAUCUUCAUCAAUGGUAUGACUUCCUUUCUAAUUGUGAAAUUAUGUCCUUUACCAAAUAGAAGCUUGAGAUAAGUUUUUUGAUCGCAUGAUCCAAAUAGAUAUAGAUGAAAAUGAAAAAAUCAAUGACUCAGAAGCAAACUCAAAGAAAUGAACAAGCAAACUAAAACAAAAAAUUAAUAGAGUAGCAAACCAAUAGCAUGAAAAUAAAUUAAACAAAAAUUUAAAACACUUGAUUCAAGUAACAAAGUGCCACCUAGUUGAAUGUUCAACCUAGAAGCAACCUUGUACCAUCCUAAUCAACCUUUAAACAGCCAUGAAAAAUCAAAGAAACAACAACCUAAAGCAAACAUCAAAAUCUGGAAAUUAGGUUCUGGACAACAUCUGAUUAAAAUUAAGUUUCCACUCUCAUUUGAUAGUAUUUGAUCUCUUAAUUUUUUGUGGAAGCAACUACCUAAUAUGUGAACAUGCACAUAAAUUUUCAAGAGCAUUGGACAUCAUUUAGUACUUGAAAUUUAACCAAAACCAUAGUGAAACAAAAUCUGGAAUUUCAGCUUGGAAAACAGAACAGCUCUACUAAAUGUUAGAUCUAGUUUGAAAUAUAUGGAAUUUUGCUCUCAAAUUUUAUAAAGCUUAGAUAACUCAUAGAUGAACAAGUACUAAAAAGGUUGAUACAAAUUGAAACUGAAUUGGACUUUAAAAGUAACAAAAACCGAAACAAAAUAAAAUAUGAAAACAGAAUAACAUUCUGGAAACAGCUUUUAAAAAAAAUUAAAUUUGCUAGCUCAAUUAGAACUAUUUGAUCAAGAGGAAGCACCGUAAAUCAACCUAACAAGUAGAGGAACAACAUAUAAAAGGCUCCUGAUUUGUUGAAACUGAAAUCAACUUGAAAAUUAAUUAAAUAUUAGCUAACAUCAAACCUGGAAACUCAAAAACUGUGUUGAAUACAAAUUGAAAUUGUAACCUUAAAUGGAAAAUGUUUGCUUAAAGGAACUAAAGUAGAGCUAAAUAACAAGUAAAGGAAUGUAAAAGAAACUUAAAAUAAAUUUAAAACAAAAGGAAAAACAAAGAACAGAGACUGAAUGGCCAAUAACAUAGCAGCUAUGGAACUGCCAGCACUUGGAGUUCCAGCCAGGAAAAAAAAUGCUGAGGAAUGUAUGAAAAGGGGGCUCUUCUAUAGCUGAAUGACAACCUUUUUUAAUGUUUGAUCCCAGCUUUAAUGCAAUCUCAACCUUCAAAAAUGCCAAGUCAGCUCAGGGAUAUUUUGGAAGAUAGACAGUUGCCCAUAACCGGUUCAGCACUAGCUGAAAUUUCCCGCUAGCUUCCUCCCCCAUGUGCUGCUUGUUUUGCCAGUCAAAUGAGGUGUAUUAUUAGCUUCCCAUUUGAGUUGAGUUGUCAUCCUUCUAAAGUCUUCAAAAGUUGCAUUUUGAGCUGUCCAAAUUGACCAAACACUAGUUGGCAACAAAUCUUGAUAAAGUUGGCAACAUUUUUAGUUCAACUUGGUGUAAGUCUUCAUCCAAAAUUUGAGCAAGAGAAUUUGUAACAUAUGGGGACUUUUUGUGCAUAAGCAGUUGGCCUUUUCCUUUUUUUUUUCUUUUUCUUUUUUUACGUGCAUUUGUUUGGAAGAGCUUACUUAUUACAUCAAAGACUAUGGAAGCCAUGUGCACACUACCGACAUCUUUUUCGUAGUUGCAGUAGGUAUUGACUUUGAGCUACUAUGCUAGUGGUGUUUCCCUCCAUUUGCAGCCCAUGUGAUGACAUCUUAAGUGGACCUAUGAUAAUUCUAUAAAAAAUAAAAUUAUAAAAUAGUAGUUGCAAAUUGAUGAUGCUUCCAUAACUUUGUGAAUGGUAAUAUUGACUAGUUUCUGAUGCUUUUAGAUUUCAAAUAUUGAGAGAACUAAUACCAAACACUGAUCAAAAGAGAGAUACAGCUUCAUUCCUGCAAGAGGGAUGUCAUGAAUCUCGAAAUGAAAAAUGUCAUACCAUAUUAUUUAUCUAACUAUUUACCUUUCGAAAAAAUUUUGCUUUAAACAUUUCUUGAUUGGAACAAUGUUCUUUUGUAGAUGAUAGAGUAUGCCCAAUAUUUACAAGAAAGAGUUAAAAAAUAUGAGGGUUCAUACCAUGGAUGGAGUUCUCAGCCCACAAAAUUCAAAAGCCAUGGAAUGGCAAGCCAACCGACCAUGAACAAUGUAAAGCCUCUGACAAUACAGAUCCAAGGAUAGCUUCUUGCUUAGAAGAGUGGUUGUUGCUCUUCCUAAAAACUUAGUGAUGUAUUAGGAAGCUAUUUUUCUUUUGCAAUAUGUUGCCUCUUAUGGCUUGUAAGAUUAUAUGUAACUCAUCAAUGGCAAAUUUAUUUGUUCUUGUUCAUUUCUACACACUUGUUCAUGUGAAAGGCUUGUACAAUGUAUGAUUGUUGAUUUAAUAAUAAUGUUCUU